GGACUUCAAAGAGGGAGUGUUCAGUCACAUGACGUAUUCUUCCGGAACUGAAUAUGAAUUCUAUAUAGCAUUGCGAUAAAAUCUUAAAAUUUAAUAGCCAAUAUUUUACUCUUUCUGACAUGUUGAUUUGACCGCGAAGUUUUAUGGAUAUCUUUCUACAGAGACGUCCUUGUAUACACCUGCCUUCAUUCAGCGAACGCCUUGGGCAAGUGCCGAGCUGCAGGAUGAGAAAUGGUGCACCUGUGUGCUGUCUAAAGAUAGGUUAGCAGUAGAGGGCCAGAGAGCAGACUCCAGAGGACCCAUCCGUCUCAAUCGAAGGCUGCAGCUGACACCUUACAAAGAGGUACAAUUAAUAAGGACAUUAUCCGUCGGCAGGCAACAAUGGGGGCCUGACGCACAGACACUAACCCCUGGAGGUCUGGAGAGUAAGGGGAGGGAUGGCAGGCCUGCAGGCCUUAAGAACAAGCCUCAUUAGGAGCAAUUUCUCCACAACAUGAAAUACUAUCCCAUAAUAGAGCCAUCUUUUCAAACCAUUAUCAGCUUCUCUGUUUGGAUUGGGUCAUUUUCAAGGAUCAAUCAUGCGUUUGUCAGGGCUGCUGAAACAUGUUUCUUGUUGGAAGGGAAAAAAUGUCUAUAGACAAAGGCCCCCCAUUUCUUUUUUGUGAUAAAAUGUGCAUCCUUGAAUCAUUUCUUUAUUAAGUUCCCAUUAUGACACAAGGGUGAAAGCUGACAGAUUGCACAAUGUCGUCAUUUUAAAUCAUUGUGCUUUGUGAGAAGUAUUUAUGGAAAUGUAUAUCUUUUUAAUUGAAUUAUUUUAGCACUGUUUUAAAGACCAAAAGGCAAGAAUUCAAUUAAUCACUUGUUUACUAUUAAUACUAAUAAAAGCACAGAUUACAAAAAAAGCAAAUAAAAAGUAAUUUUAAUAAUGCAAAAGAAAGUGAACUAUUUGACUACAAUUUCCACUGAUUAAAGAUGAUGCCAGACAAACUUGCAGGGUUUAAUCUCAUGACACAUGCAAUAUUUAAAAAUAAAAUGUUUUUUACUGCAUCAGAAAGUGCACAACAUUCAAUAAACAAAACAUAUAUUUCAU
rnacentral:lncRNA from 1 species